rnacentral:rRNA from 1 species
GUUAGCGGCGGGCCUAACACAUGCAAGUCGAGGGGCAGCAUUUCCAGCUUGCUGGAAGAUGGCGACCGGCGCACGGGUGAGUAACGCGUAUAGAAUCUGCCCUUUACUGGGGAAUAGCCCGAAGAAAUUUGGAUCAAUGCCCCAUGGUCCCUUCUUGUGGAUUCACGAUUAGGGUAAAGGUUACGGUAAAGGAUGACUAUGCGUCCCAUUAGUUAGUUGGUAGGGUAACGGCCUACCAAGACCGCGAUGGGUAGGGGCCCUGAGAGGGGGAUCCCCCACACUGGUACUGAGACACGGACCAGACUCCUACGGGAGGCAGCAGUGAGGAAUAUUGGACAAUGGGCGAGAGCCUGAUCCAGCCAUGCCGCGUGCAGGAAGACGGUCCUAUGGAUUGUAAACUGCUUUUAUACGGGAAGAACCUAGGGCACGUGUGCUCUACUGACGGUACCGUAAGAAUAAGGAUCGGCUAACUCCGUGCCAGCAGCCGCGGUAAUACGGAGGAUCCGAGCGUUAUCCGGAAUCAUUGGGUUUAAAGGGUCCGUAGGCGGGCCAUUAAGUCAGGGGUGAAAGUCUGCGGCUCAACCGUAGAAUUGCCCUUGAUACUGGUGGUCUUGAGUUAUGGUGAAGUAACUAGAAUAUGUGGUGUAGCGGUGAAAUGCAUAGAUAUCACAUAGAAUACCGAUUGCGAAGGCAGGUUACUAACCAUAUACUGACGCUGAUGGACGAAAGCGUGGGGAGCGAACGGGAUUAGAUACCCCGGUAGUCCACGCCGUAAACGAUGGAUACUAGCUGUCCGGCAGCAAUGCUGGGUGGCUAAGCGAAAGUGAUAAGUAUCCCACCUGGGGAGUACGUCCGCAAGGAUGAAACUCAAAGGAAUUGACGGGGGCCCGCACAAGCGGUGGAGCAUGUGGUUUAAUUCGAUGAUACGCGAGGAACCUUACCAGGGCUUAAAUGUAGUCUGACAGCUUUAGAGAUAGAGUUUUCUUCGGACAGAUUACAAGGUGCUGCAUGGUUGUCGUCAGCUCGUGCCGUGAG